UAUUUUAUUUUUUUUUUAAACAUUGAAUACAUGGAAUAGAACAGAACAGAAAACAACUUCAUCAAUGAACCUUUAAAAAUAUUUAUUAAACAAUGUCAGGCUUAAAUACAUGCACAAAAAACCAUCACAUCAGCAUAAAAUGGCAAUGCACUGUAAAAAAUCCAACUUUCGAAAAGUUUAAAUAACUUAUAUCUAUUAGUUAACUGGACAAUACAACUCAAAGUUGACUCUAAGUGGAAAUAAGUUGGUUCAAAAAUUGUCUGACCAACUUAAUUUGAAAUGUUGACUGGAUAUGCACAUAUAAGUUUACAAGCACACAAGUUGGCUUGGAGGUUGGCGCAUGCGCGCUAUAACGUGCAGACGUUGGAGUGAACAUGGAAUGAUGGCGCCAUUUUGAUCAUCAGUCAAGCUUCAGGACAGCUUCAUCAACUCUUCAAACGUCAGCGUUUAAAUUAUCGGAAAAAUUUGGGAGCAGGAGAUCAUGACGAACUAAUCAACCCAAACUUCAUCGUUUAUUAAAAGCUCAGCAUGCAAUGUAAAAUUUGCCCACUCUUCUCAAGAACAACUUCUAAAACACACAAGACUGCAACAUGGAGGACGAGUAAAUUGGAAUUGUUUUUAUGACAACUGUAUUUAAAGCUCCUAAACCCGAAGUGCACUCAAAUCACAUCUUACAAGAAUACCCAAAAGAACUCAAAUAUACUUUUGAGGUAAUUGAGAAGGUGUUCAUGGAAAUGGGCACUCGAUGCUCUGCAAGGGUACAGUCUUUGAAAACUAAGCUCUUCCUGUGAACGUUGUUGAACUGUGAAUUGUUGAACUAUGUUUAAAAAUGUUUUAAAAAUGUUUUUUUGGUGUUAUAAAAUGGGGCUUACUGCUCUGCAAAGGUACAGUCUGUGAAAAGUAAACUCUUAAUGGGAAUGUUGACAUUUUGGUGUGAGCAUCUUGUGAUUUCAACAAAUAUUAGCAUCUUAAUGUUAAAAUGUUAAUUAAUAAAAUAAAUUGUUAAACUGAGUUGUUGAAAUGUUAAUAUAAUGUCUUACAAUGUCAUUUUUAUUUAAUGUGUUUUGUUGUUGAUUGUGCGUU